rnacentral:rRNA from 1 species
UAGGUCCAGGCAACUGUUUAACAAAAACACAGGGCUGUGCUAAUAUGAAAGUAGAUGUAUACAGCCUGACACCUGCCCGGUGCUGGAAGGUUAAGAGGAGAUGUCAUCGCGAGAGAAGCAUUGAAUUGAAGCCCCAGUAAACGGCGGCCGUAACUAUAACGGUCCUAAGGUAGCGAAAUUCCUUGUCGGGUAAGUUCCGACCUGCACGAAUGGUGUAAU